UGGUGGAUUGCAGGACCCGAUUUUUUGAGGUAAACGUAUUAACAGGUGUGACGCAGGAAGGUAGCCAAGCCACGCGAUGGUUGUCGUGGUCUAAGCGUGUAGGGUAUCCGGUUGUUAGAUGCGCCGGUGUUAGCCUGAGACGUGAUGGGACCCCUUUUUUGGGGGAUUUGGUGAUCCUAUGCUGCCGGGAAAAGCAUCGACGUGAGGUUUUAGCCGCCCGUACCCCAAACCGACACAGGUGAUCAUGUAGAGAAUACUAAGGCGAUCGAGAGAAUCAUGGUUAAGGAACUCGGCAAAAUGUCCCCGUAACUUCGGGAGAAGGGGAGCCUUGAGCGUGAUCCACCUAUGCGGUGGGGAGCGUGUAUGGGUCGCAGAGAAUUGGGGGAAGCGACUGUUUAUCAAAAACACAGGUCCAUGCGAAGUCGUAAGACGAUGUAUAUGGACUGACUCCUCCCCGGUGCUGGAAGGUUAAGAGGAUUGGUUAGCCCUUUUGGGCGAAGCUAAGAAUUUAAGCCCCAGUAAACGGGUGGUAUAACCAUCCUAAGGUAGCGAAAUUCCUUGUCGGGUAAGUUCCGACCUGCACGAAUGGAGUAACGACUUCCCUACUGUCUCAACCAUGAACUCGGCGAAAUUGCAGUACGAGUAAAGAUGCUCGUUUCGCGCAGCAGGACGGAGAGACCCCGUGACCUUUACUAUAGUUUGGUAUUGGCGUUCGGUGUGGCUUGUGUAGGAUAGGUGGGAGACUGUGAGGCUGACACGCUAGUGUUGGUGGAGUCGUUGUUGAAAUACCACUCUGGUCGCUCUGGAUGUCUAACUUCGGCCCGUGAUCCGGGUCAGGGACAGUGCCUGAUGGGUAGCUUAACUGGGGCGGUUGCCUCCUAAAAAGUAACGGAGGCGCCCAAAGGUUCCCUCAGCCUGGUUGGCAAUCAGGUGUUGAGUGUAAGUGCACAAGGGAGCUUGACUGUGAGACUGGCAGGUCGAGCAGGGACGAAAGUCGGGACUAGUGAUCCGGCGGUACAUUGUGGAAUGGCCGUCGCUCAACGGAUAAAAGGUACCUCGGGGAUAACAGGCUGAUCUUGCCCAAGAGUCCAUAUCGACGGCAUGGUUUGGCACCUCGAUGUCGGCUCGUCGCAUCCUGGGGCUGGAGUUGGUCCCAAGGGUUGGGCUGUUCGCCCAUUAAAGCGGUACGCGAGCUGGGUUCAGAACGUCGUGAGACAGUUCGGUCCCUAUCCGCUGCGCGCGUUGGAAAUUUGAGAAAGGCUGUCCUUAGUACGAGAGGACCGGGACGGACGAACCUCUGGUAUGUCAGUUGUACCGCCAGGUGCAUGGCUGAUUGGCUACGUUCGGGAGGGAUAACCGCUGAAAGCAUCUAAGCGGGAAGCCUGUUUUGAGAUGAGAUUUCCUAGCGUUUUUUGAACGUGUGAGGAUCCCUAUAGAUGAUGGGGUUGAUAGGCCAGGUAUGGACGCGGGGAAUUCCCGUGGAGUUGACUGGUACUAAUAGUCCGAAGGCC
rnacentral:rRNA from 1 species